AUACGUAGGUGGCGAGCGUUGUCCGGAAUUACUGGGCGUAAAGGGCGUGUAGGCGGCCUUUUAAGUCAGAUGUGAAAUCUCAGGGCUUAACCCUGAAACUGCAUUUGAAACUGGAGGGCUUGAGGAUCGGAGAGGGCAGUGGAAUUCCCAGUGUAGCGGUGAAAUGCGUAGAUAUUGGGAGGAACACCAGUGGCGAAGGCGACUGCCUGGACGACACCUGACGCUGAGGCGCGAAAGCUAGGGGAGCGAACGGGAUUAGAUACCCCGGUAGUCCUAGCCGUAAACGAUGGGUACUAGGUGUGGGAGGUAUCGACCCCUUCCGUGCCGGAGUUAACACAAUAAGUACCCCGCCUGGGGAGUACGGCCGCAAGGCUGAA
rnacentral:rRNA from 1 species